CUACGGGGGGCAGCAGUGGGGAAUAUUGGGCAAUGGACCAAAAGUCUGAUCCAGCAAUUCUGUGUGCACGAUGACGGUCUUCGGAUUGUAAAGUGCUUUCAGUUGGGAAGAAAAAAAUGACGGUACCAACAGAAGAAGCGACGGCUAAAUACGUGCCAGCAGCCGCGGUAAUACGCAUGUCGCAAGCGUUAUCCGGAUUUAUUGGGCGUAAAGCGCGUCUAGGUGGUUUGAUAAGUCUGAUGUGAAAAUGCGGGGCUCAACUCCGUAUUGCGUUGGAAACUGUCAAACUAGAGUAUCGGAGAGGUGGGCGGAACUACAAGUGUAGAGGUGAAAUUCGUAGAUAUUUGUAGGAAUGCCGAUAGAGAAGUCAGCUCACUGGACGAAUACUGACACUGAAGCGCGAAAGCAUGGGGAGCAAACAGGAUUAGAUACCCUCGUAGUC
rnacentral:rRNA from 1 species